UACGUAGGGUGCAAGCGUUAAUCGGAAUUACUGGGCGUAAAGCGUGCGCAGGCGGUUUUGUAAGUCUGAUGUGAAAUCCCCGGGCUCAACCUGGGAAUUGCAUUGGAGACUGCAAGGCUAGAAUCUGGCAGAGGGGGGUAGAAUUCCACGUGUAGCAGUGAAAUGCGUAGAGAUGUGGAGGAACACCGAUGGCGAAGGCAGCCCCCUGAGUCAAGAUUGACGCUCAUGCACGAAAGCGUGGGGAGCAAACAGG
rnacentral:rRNA from 1 species